rnacentral:lncRNA from 1 species
AAAAGUAGCGCUGCAGCCGACCGAACCGCGUCCUCCCGCCCCGUCCUCCCCUCCCCCACGCCGGGACGGCCUCCCGGGGGAGGCCCCGAGGAAAAAAAUCCAGGCUCGAACUCCGCCCCCUGCCGGCCGCCAGCAGGAGUGAAGCGCCACAAUCCAACAAUGAAAUGGAACCGGGGAGGGGCGGCGGGAAGGUUAUAGUGCCAUCAUGUGGAUACUUUGUUUUCUUCAAAUAAAAUGUAACCUUUUUAUAACAGAGACUAGAAAACCCAGCCAUCCCAACACCCAGGCUGUGCAAAGAAAUUGGGGCCAAACGUUUUUUUGCCAUGUUCUGAAAAGGAUAGAGGCACUCUCCAUUCCUGAUUGUUCCAAGGCUCAAGUGGUCAGAAAUGACUGGGAAGAAGGGAGAAAAACUCAGGUGGCAAAGGACAUGGACGAAAACCCAUGGCGACAUGGAAAGAAAACCCUGUGAUAUAGAGAGGAAAAGCACAGGACAGCUUAUUGGGGAGA